UACCAGCACCCCGAGUGGUCGGGACGUUUAUUGGGCCUAAAGCAUCCGUAGCCGGUUCUACAAGUCUUCCGUUAAAUCCACCUGCUUAACAGAUGGCUGCGGAAGAUACUAUAGAGCUAGGAGGCGGGAGAGGCAAGCGGUACUCGAUGGGUAGGGGUAAAAUCCGUUGAUCCAUUGAAGACCACCAGUGGCGAAGGCGGCUUGCCCAGAAC
rnacentral:rRNA from 1 species